GGGAUUCACUCUGUCUUCCCCGUCUUCUCUGCGAGAUCUUUUGGGCUAAGCUCUUGGAGCUGUGGCCUGGGCCUGGCGUAUUAGAGCCGUUGUGUACAUGUCUGUCUCCCCAGUAGACUGAGCAUCCUGAGGGCAGUGGCUGGGUCUCUUCAUCCUGUCCCCAGCUUCACCCAGCACAGGGCCAGGCACCGAGUAGGCGUCGGUAGAUGUUUGCUGAAUUGAAUUGAAUCCCCACGGCAGCUCUGUGAGGCAGGUAGGGCGGGAAUUAUGAGCCCCUCUUUCCCCAAGAAGAAAUAAAGACUCAGAAAGCACAAAGGGGCUUGGACCCAGCACGUGGUUGCUGACGUGUUUGUGUGGCAGGUGGCGAGCUCUUCACGCAUCUGGAGCGAGAGGGCAUCUUCCUGGAAGAUACGGCCUGGUGGGUGUUAAUCCUCCGCUUUCCUGAGGCUGCCAGGUCCCUGCCCUACUCCCGCCUUCACCCUGUCUUGUUUCUGCAGCUUCUACCUGGCUGAGAUCACGCUGGCCCUGGGCCAUCUCCACUCCCAGGGCAUCAUCUACCGGGACCUCAAGCCCGAG
rnacentral:sRNA from 1 species